UGGGACACUGGUUUUUCAAUUGGCCUCCAAGGUCUGUCUAGAAGAAUAAAAUCAGGCAACAGAACUUAUUUAGCUUUGCCUGGAAUUUUCUCCCAGUUUUCGUAGCUGAAGUAAAAACCUGAAUGUGGUUUGGAAUGAGUGGAAUAUCUCACAUCAGAAGAAAUGACAUUUUCCCCUUUCCAAUACUAAUGAGCAAAUCAAAGGAGACAAAGGACUAGAUGUGAAACAGGCCGGGAAACAGGGGAAAUGUGCCUCUUCUAUCCAAUGGUCCAAUGCCCCAGACAUGCACCCACCUCCAGUCCUAUUUAACCAAGAAGCUUCAAUCCAGAUCUUGACUUUCCAGGCUGUGCCCUCACCAGUAGGUGACACAGGUGGGACAUGGAGCAUCUCCUGUUGGCAACUGUCUCCUCCACACAGAGCUAUGGGGACUAAAGCACAUCUAUGCUCCCUGCUACACAGGACACCUGCUUUCUGUACCCCACUCCACCAAGCAUUUGGCCACAUAUGUAUAGUAGAACAGCAUCAAGAAGAGAGAAUGAGAUUGACCCACCACCCCAGGAAGACGUGUGGGCUCUGUCUGAGGCAUACACAAAGCACACAAGAAGUGCAGAGAAUUGUUUUCAUUAUACAAACUAAAUGGAAGGCUGCAGCCCUCAAAAGGCAAGGUAUGGUUUGUGCACAGAAAAUACUUGUGUUUUGCUGAAGCUGGCUUUUAAACCAGUUUAAUUAAAACGACUUGCUUCUGUCCAUUCUGGUCAAGCAGUUCAUCUGGUGUAGCUCAGCCAUUAAAGAAUCAGCUGCAGCAAAGCCAGCGUCAAACUGCUCACAAACCGAAGUAAGAGCCGCUCCAAGUUAAGGAAAUUGUUUUUAAAACACACCCUUGGUUAAGUGGUGCAUGUCAGUAUCGAUAAUGCAUAGCUGCCGGCUGCCUGCGCGCUGGGCUUCCCUGCCUGCAGCUGGUGGCAUGGCUCUGACCUGGGGUGCUUGCUGGGAGCUGCGCUCCUCCCGUUGGUUUGGGUGCUGAUGAAGGAGGCAGGGAGCAGCAGGCAGACCUCACGGGGUCUGAACUCAGUGCUUCGGCAGCAAAGUGAACGCGGCGCUCGCUUUGAAUAAAUUGACUUUAAAUCCCAUUUAUUUUUGAUCCUCACUUUCUCUUAAUAGCUUGCGACUCAGUUCAGGAUCUGAGAUUUCUGCAGAAAGUGGUGCUGUGGGGGAGGUUUCUUCAUUUAUCAGCCUGUUUUACAAUCUUUUGCUUCACUUCCAAGGCAGACACAUUGAUGGAAUAACUACUGUAUGGCUGUGCCACAGUUGUAGAAGUGCACGUUCUGUUACAUUUUGGUGUGGUUUUGUUUUCACACACUGGCUAUUUUUUUGUUGAAGUAACUCUUUUUUCCUAAUACCUCCAGCCACAAAGUAGUUUCAUCUCAGCAGAUGUCUUAAGCAUAGUUCAGCUGCAUCAGCAGAUAUUCCGUCGAUGGUAUUGCUCCCCUGUGACUCUCAACAAGGAUUUUAUUUUAUUUUUUUUUAUUUAAGUGCUGGCAACAUGGUUUAUUUAUAACAAGGAACAUAUUUCAAGAGCAUUUUCCAUAUCCAUAUCUAUUUCUUCAAUCUUUAUCUCAGUAAAUAGAACUUUGUGUUCACAUUUAGAUUUUUCUUUUUCUCCCCCUCCCUGUGCUUUCUGCUCUUCAAACAGCAGCAUGGCUAAGAAACGUUUGGUGAAAGUGCUGUUUGACCAGUACUAUAGUCUAGAGCAGACUCAGAGGCACUAUGCAAACAUUUUCUUUACAACAUUAGUUCUUUCACCUACCAGAUAUAUCAAGGUAAAAGUUCGUAACACUGCUUUUUUCCCUCAUGUGUGUUUCAAUCUUUCUGACAUCUGGAAAAAGUGGUUUUUGACUUGGUCCUUCCUGCAUAACUUCUGUUUAAACUCGAUUCACAAAAAAGAUAUAGUGUUUGCCUAGGGUUCGGGUGAUUAAGGCUGUUUCUCCUUUUGCCUGGCAGUGCUACAACUCUUUGGUAGAAGGAGCCCCAAAAGAACUACGCUGGGAAUUGUCACGUUUUAUGAUGUAUGAGCUUCUUUUUCUUUUUAAUUUUACCACAAGAAAAGAAGGAGCAGUAUCCCAUCUGCACGGAUCUCCUCAGCCCUGCCAAAGGUCGAGGCUCAGAGCUGGUUAACCAUUAAAAUGAAAGGCCAAAAUCCUGCAGAGUCCUCUCAGGCAAAGCUCCCGUCUCCUUCGGAGCACCACUGUAGAUGGUACAAAUGAAAAGAAGAAAGAAUGUCUCCUCCCCAUUGUCCAUAGUCACACAACACGGUCUGACCAUUCGGCUGCAAAGGUCUUCAGAGCAGGGCUGUUGAGCCCUGUUUUCAUUCCUGGUAGUGUUACUUGUGCAUUUGAGAAAUAACCAAACCUUUUUCCUUCAUGCACAUUUCUAAAAUAUUUGGGGCAGAGCUGUUUAGAAACAGUACUGAAACAUGCAUUAAUUUAUCCACCCUUCAUAACCUCCUUAUGGUCACAGGGAAGGUUUGUUGGGGGAAAGGUGUGGUUACAUGAUCUUUUCAUUCGUGAUUUGGGUCAUAGAGGUAGUUAUAGAAAGGAUAGGGAUUUCAGCUGUUGUAUAUCCUUAGCGAGGGACCUAUUCCUAUCCUGACUCCCAGCACUGUGCUCAGAGUCUCAGGGCUGCUGGUGCACAGGCUGUGCUUGGGCUGUCAGCACACACCUCCUGCCCUUGCACCAUCAUGACUCCUCUGGGAAGGAUCAUAUGUACCUUUGAGCCUUUCCAGCCUGAUGUGGUAACUGCAAGGACAGAUGGCUAGUGAGAAACCUGGGAGCUGCCUGCAGCAUAGCUAGAGUUGCCCUUGGGUGGCACAGUAAGCCCUGGCCAGAGAUUAAGUGCCUCCCAGGGAGUAACACUGGGAUUUCUGCAGCCUAGCAGAAGGUGUUGCUCUAGGUGGGCAAUGAGGGCUCCUGGCUGCCUCAGCCUCAGCCCUACCCUUCAGGUCACUCUGUGCAGCAGUGCAGGUGGAGCCAUUUGGGAUGGCAAGAUCAUGGUGUUUACUUCACCAGACUGAAGCUGUAAGACUCUUAGCAAUGGUGACAACUGAGCUGGAGAUGGCAGCAGACCCUUAUCAUGAAAAAAGAGGCCUAUGUUUUCAAACUGUCUUUUUAAAUUGUCUGUUUCCAGAAUGUCCAAGGUACCUUUUCUGAAUGGAGGCAUUGUUGUUGCAGAUCCCCUUCAUGCCAUCUUGAUUAUAUAGGCCUGACACCCAAAGCCAUGUUCAUGCCAGCGUAUGCACAGAAAGCCUCUUCUGACUCUGUGAAACUCUCUGGAGUCUCUGUCUCAGCCUCCUUCCCCUAUGGCACUCUGUGCUUUGUAGUAUCUGGAGCCUGUUGAACUUUGGGGGAGAUCAGCACACCCACCUUGUCACAGGAGUCCAUCAGAGAAAAAAAAUCCACUUUCCUUGGCCUUCUGAAAACAGGGGGCAAAUUUGUGUUGUUAAUAUUUCACCAAGUAGUGGUAUAAUUGCCAUCUACACGCACGCUUCAAACAUAUGGGUUACGCCUAAGAUGAGGUGGCUAUAUAUCUUUACAUGUUGAAAGUGGCAAUCCUAUUUCCCCAUUUCUAAACUUGAUCAGCAACUUCCCAUUAAAUACAUGUGUUUCACCCUCAUUUUGUUCUUUUCCCCUUUUAUCCCAUUUCCACUUCACUCUGGGACAAGUUCAGCUCUGACAGAUACAAGUUUAACUCCUCUGAAUUAAGAAAAGCCACAUAAAUUUUCAUUCUUCCUUUGCUGGACUAUCCCAUCUUUCACUUAGAAAUUUAUCAGAUAAUGUUCUCCACAAAAUUAUAUAAAACCAGGAUAAUGCCAGAACAGGAGUUUCUCCAAUUUUUAAAAUAAUUUGGCUUCUUAAUGUGUCCAAAUAUAUGUAGUGGGAGAGGGGAAAUUUAACACAGUGGAAUGUUACACCACAAUAACAAAGAAUUUCAGCAGGUUGUAUGAUACCAUAUUUCCAUUCUUUCCCCUAACAUCCUUGCAAAUAUGUGGCAUUCAUUUAAAAAAUAUAUUUAGCAACAAAAUCCAUACCAAUUAAACAAAGCUCAGCUGUGUCUGUCUAGCAUCACAACUGAGAGUUGCUUUUUAGUUUGUUUAACUGAGAAGGUUUUAAAGCACAAUAGCUCUUCACAGGAAAAGAAAUAAAAAUUUGCAAAGAAAAAUUACUGACAAGAUAAUUAAAAAUAAAAUCCCUAAAUAAUAAUAU